AUACGAAGGGGGCUAGCGUUGUUCGGAAUUACUGGGCGUAAAGCGCACGCAGGCGGUCUGUUAAGUCAGAUGUGAAAUCCCCGGGCUUAACCUGGGAACUGCAUUUGAAACUGGCAGGCUUGAGUCUUGUAGAGGGGGGUAGAAUUCCAGGUGUAGCGGUGAAAUGCGUAGAGAUCUGGAGGAAUACCGGUGGCGAAGGCGGCCCCCUGGACAAAGACUGACGCUCAGGUGCGAAAGCGUGGGGAGCAAACAGGAUUAGAUACCCUGGUAGUCCACGCCGUAAACGAUGUCGACUUGGAGGUUGUUCCCUUGAGGAGUGGCUUCCGGAGCUAACGCGUUAAGUCGACCGCCUGGGGAGUACGGCCGCAAGGUUAAA
rnacentral:rRNA from 1 species